GUGUGUGUGUUUGUUUAGUUGAAUCCAAAAUGUGUUUUAGAAGAUAUUGUUUGUAAUAAUAUUUUUAACAAUACUUUGUUUUUGUUGUGCAGCUAGUUGAAGAGCUGAAGAAGGAAUACCUGAGGCUUUUGCCGCUGACGGAGAGCAGCAAAGAGUUGCUCGACGAGUUACAGACAGAUUUGGAGUGUUGUGGACUUCAGGGCUACCAGGACUGGAAAUCCAACAUCCCAAAAUCCUGCCUUUGCACCAAAGAGUCCACUAAUUCGUGUGUGGAAACUCUUGGAGGCAGCUGGGAGGAAAAUCAGACUGUUAUGAUUUAUGAACAGGUAUUAAAGACAUUCUCAUCAUUUUUCCAGGAACUUGUGUAAACUCUAUAAGCUGUUAUGGCAAAAGCAGGCAACUACACCACCCUCACAGAGCCUCCAGACGACUUCCGAUGUCUUUGCUAGUUCUGAUGCUUCCAGCAGUGAUGGCCAUUAUUUAAACAUGCUAAAUAAUAAAUAUAUUUAUGACAAUUGCUUAUAUUGAAUAUAUCCUACAUAUCCUACAAGUGCAUUAUGGACUAUUUUAUUAUGACUUUGUGAAUUUCAACUCAGUUGAUUGAGAUUAUGGAUCUGAGAUAUCAACACGGAGUGAAAACGCACGAUUUAAAUGUAAUAUAACUAAACAUCUAAACAUGUAUCUAAAACAAACUGAAUAUUAUGUGUGAAUUGUUUUAAUACUUUCUGAUUUCGUAGCUUUUAAUUUUUCUACACUGUGUAAAUUUUGGUUUGUCUAUGUUUCUUUUCUUUUCUUUUCUUUUUUUUAACUUUUUUUUGUAUAUCCAGUUUUACAUUUCUACUUUAUGUUCAUUUUUUAAUACAAUGUGAUUGUUAUAUACUGGUAGUUAGCAUGAGGUGCCUUUUUUCACUGCACUGUAUCAUUUAGGACAGCUGCCAAAAUUUAAUACAUUUAAAAUGGAUACAACUAUCAUUUACAUACCUCAGCAUUUGCUGGUGGGUUAACCGAGCUGUUAGCAUCAUUACGAGGACGGGCAGUUUCAGUUUUGUAGG